GUGAAUUGGAAAACAAAAAUAGCUGCUUGUGCCAGGAGCACACAUAUUCUAAACUCCUUACUGGGAUUGUCUAUAAAACAAGUCGUUGAGGAGCCAACUCGUAAAGAGGCCAUACUAGAUUUAGUGUUAACAAAUGGAGAUUUGGAGAGUCAAAAAUGGGUCGAAAGAGAAUACUGAGAACGGGCUGCAGCUGAAAUAGCCUGCCCUUCAGUCAGUCCCCGCUCAGUUCUCAAGCUGAUUUUUGCUCAUCUUGUGCCAUUACAGAGAGAACAUAUCUGAAGCAUUUCAGACUGGUCCCACCCAUACGGGCAGUCCAGAUCCGAAAUGCCAGCAAGUUCUCUCUGCACGAGAGAUACAGUAACUCCAAACAAUCGUUACCGCCUUGUUAGGCAUCAUCAGUGAGGCAUAGCUGAUAUCUCCCUAGGCACCGUGAGCAAGGGGUCCAUGUCUGGAUUAUCCCUUUAAACUUGUGGAGAGUCAAAAAUGGGUUGCAAGAGAAUACUGAGAACGGGCAGCAGCUGAAAUAGCCUGCCCUUCGGUCGGUCUCCGCUCAGUUCUCAAGCUGAUUUUUGCUCAUCUUGUGCCAUUACAGAGAGAACAUAUCUGAAGCAUAUCAGACUGGUCCCACCCAUACGGGCAGUCCAGAUCCAAAAUGACAGCAAGUUCUCUCUGCACGAGAGAUAUAGCAACUCCGAACGAUCGUUUCCACCUUGUUAGGCAUCAUCAGUGAGGCAUAGCUGAUAUCUCCCUAGGCACCGUGAGCAAGGGGUCCACGUCCACAGUGAGGAAGACAGAAUGAUCUAUAAGAUUAGGCAGAAAGAGGCUAAGCAAGUUAUAAGAGCUUCCAAAUCACACACAGAAGAGAAA